rnacentral:lncRNA from 1 species
GUUAUCAUGUGGAUGUUGUGGAAUGACCAGAGCAUCGCUAAAAUAUCUGACAAGAUUGAAAAGUUUUUUCCUAACAGCCUCCAAGAGUAUCACAAAUGUAGCCGCAGGAACAUGGAUCUGAUGCAGAAAAACCGGGAAGAUUUCAAGUCCUUUGCUCAUGUUCUGGCCAGAGACAGGGAUAUACGUGAGACUUACAUUCGGGUUAGUGAAAAUCACUUCCCCCAUAAAAAAUAUAUAUAUUGUUUUUUUAGUUGUUACAAAUGAUUUGUUAAAUGGUACAUUAUUUAUAUAAGCACCAGUCUGCAUCAAUUCCAGAUCUUCAAAUAAAAUGUGAUUAUUCGACUUUGCAGGAUUUAAUGGAAGAGCAAUAUGGUGAAUGCUAUGCACAGAAACUGGAGGAGAGACUUUCUCACUAUUUGGGAGAGCUAGAUAAAGUCCUGCCACAACCUACAUAUAUUGAUCAGGUAGCCCUUUGUGAUAUCUAAAGUAUCCGCAUUUAGUUGUGCUUUUAUUUUUCUAAACAAAAAGACUGGUUAAAAAAAAAAUUGCUGAGAGGUGAUAAAACAUAUUCCAGCAACUAAAUAUAAAUAAAUAUAUUAGCUAAAUACAGUAUCUAGUCAGAGUUCCUGCAGGUCCUUAAAAUGUUUUACAUUCAGUUUGAUCAUAAAUAAGUCUUCAUAAAAACUGGAUACACAAUAAACUGUAUCUGCCAUUGUAUUCAUUGUAAACUAAAGGAAAUAAUGAAAAAAAUAUUUAACACAUUCAGUAUAUAGAUUUUUACUAGAAUCAGCACAAUAUAUAUAUAUAUAUAUAUAUAUAAGCUUUCCUUAAACACAUUAUUAUCAUAUAAUAAAAAUAUUUAUUUUAUUAAUGAUACAUUAUUCUAUUCUGUUCACAUUUGCAUGUGUCCAGUUACUGAAGCAGUCCUAUUCAUAUGGGAGGGGAGAGAAGAUCCUGAAAAAAUUACUUUCAAUUAAAAGUGCCUCUUUAGCCUCAGUUCUGAAGAGACUCCUAAAUUGCGCAGUAACAACAAAUCUAAGCCUUGACGACAGUCUCACUCCAUCACUUUCAUGCACUUGUGAGGAACAAAGGGACGCUGAAGUUGUUAAACCAUCUCAUGGUACCCUCCGUGUAUUUUUGAGGUCAUCUCAGAACAGCACAAAAGAGGAUGGACUCUUUGGUUCUCAGGGCUUGUGGCAAAAUAGAAACACGGAUACCAUUUGUGGGGAUGGAGUAAUCGUUACAUCUACGCAGUUGUCAGAUUCUGAAAUCAAUCUGAUUGACUUCAGCCAAUCUCCUCUGGCGGAGAAGGACCUGGUUGGGAGGGAGAGACAGGCGAAGACUCAAUCUGAACCAGGAGAGAAGGAAAGUGAGAGGGAUUUCAAAGAGCAGAUGUGCUCUAGGCAUGGCAAAACAAUGAGGAGCAUCCUUCAGGAAUGUUCUGAAGAGCCUGAUGGAGAAGUCGUACAGGCAGAAUGCACUCCCACAUCAACCCAGAGCACUCCACCUCUUCUUCUGUACUCACCACAACCUCAAGCAUCUCCAAACCAGCACUCACAGUCCUCAAACCCAGAUUCAUCCUCUACGAACAUUUCAUUGUCUUACAUCCAGCAGGUCAAUCUUUCCUCAGUGUCUUCAAAGAAUCCAGCUGCUCCUUCACCUUCAGUCUUCCUAGAGUCCUCAUCAUCUCAUUCCGCAGCCUCAGAGCAACUCGGAAUCGAUGCAGGAGAGAUUUUAGCUACUGCUGUCUUCACUGAACCAAGCACGACCAAUAAACAUGAUCUGAAACUGUCCUUAGAGAGUCAAAGCUUCCUCAUGCAGUCCAAGUGGCUUCAACCUCAAGUGUGUCUUAGUAGACUGAGCAAGGAAGAGUGUGUCAGAGCUAUGUAUUCAUACAGAGCCUGUGACAUUUUAGAAGGAGAACAAGAGCAUGAAGGUGAUCAAUACAUGUUAUUUGAUGUAAACACACUUUAUUCAGAUUCAUACUCGGAAGAUUUUGAAUCAACAGACUCUGAUGACCCUGAUUACAAGCCCAACUAA